rnacentral:sRNA from 1 species
CCGUUGCCUUUUUGGCUCAGG